rnacentral:tRNA from 1 species
GGCGCUAUAGCCAAGUGGUUACGGCGACAGAUUCGAACUUCCUUAUCUGUUCCUCUUUGAGGGCGCAGGUUCAAAUCCUGCUGGCGUCG